GAGGAAUGGCAGAGCGGUUGAAUGCGGCGGUCUUGAAAACCGUUGUGCCGAGAGGCACCGUGGGUUCGAAUCCUACUUCCUCC
rnacentral:tRNA from 1 species